UACAGAGGUCUCAAGCGUUGUUCGGAUUCAUUGGGCGUAAAGGGUGUGUAGGUGGCGCCGUAAGUCGGGUGUGAAAUUCGUGGCUAACUCCGAAACUGCAUUCGAUACUGCGUGCUUGAGGACUGGAGAGGAGACUGGAAUUAGGUGUAGCAGUGAAAUGCGUAGAGAUCAUGAGGAAGACCAGUGGCGAAGGCGGGUCGUCGUGGACAGUUCCUGACGCUGAGGCACGAAGGCCAGGGGAGCAAACGGG
rnacentral:rRNA from 1 species